UGGGGAAUAUUGGACAAUGGGCGAAAGCCUGAUCCAGCCAUGCCGCGUGUGUGAAGAAGGUCUUCGGAUUGUAAAGCACUUUAAGUUGGGAGGAAGGGCAGUAAGCUAAUACCUUGCUGUUUUGACGUUACCGACAGAAUAAGCACCGGCUAACUCUGUGCCAGCAGCCGCGGUAAUACAGAGGGUGCAAGCGUUAAUCGGAAUUACUGGGCGUAAAGCGCGCGUAGGUGGUUUGUUAAGUUGGAUGUGAAAGCCCCGGGCUCAACCUGGGAACUGCAUCCCAAACUGGCAAGCUAGAGUACGGUAGAGGGUGGUGGAAUUUCCUGUGUAGCGGUGAAAUGCGUAGAUAUAGGAAGGAACACCAGUGGCGAAGGCGACCACCUGGACUGAUACUGACACUGAGGUGCGAAAGCGUGGGGAGCAAACA
rnacentral:rRNA from 1 species